CUAAGAGCGCGCAGCUGGGGUUGGGCUUAACUGUGUCUGUACUACACCAUUUUAUUAAGAGGCCUCUUCCUCUUAGCGGAUGAUUCUGCGUCUUACGCCUUUCUCCAGGAUUCUGGUGGGGAUUUAGGCUCCCGCUUGUGGACAGCAAUCAUUUCAGGACUGGAUUUCAGAGCCCCUGGGUACCUCGCACUGAACACCUCCCAGGAAUGAAAAAAUUGCAUGUGAUGGGACCCUAGGGAGCAGAGAUUGAAAAGAAAACAUGGAUCUGUAACACAAGUCUCCUUCCCUGAAAUCAGUGGGAAGAACAGAAUGUAACUGCUUGGCUGGAAGAGCUGUGACAUGAUCGUCUCCCCACAGAGAGAGGUCUGGUUACUGUAAAGUGACCAAAGUGCCGUCUGUGGAGAAACAGCUUAUGAAAAACUCCUCUCUAAACAAAGACUCAGACCGGAGUCCUGUGCCUUGAUUAGAAAGCCACCUCAUAAAAUUCCCCAAAGUUAUUUUUUCUCUACAAAGAUUGUGAAUUAACCUUUUGUUGUUUCCUAGGGGUGAAGAAAAAAAUGAAACAUUUUACUAAAGGUGAUUGAAAAUAAGAGUGACAAGGAAAAAGGAAAACUCUAGUUUGCGUGAAAGGAUAAAAAGAUAAUGCUAACUAAAUGCAUUGCAUCAUCUCAUCUUUAAAGCCAUGCCAGGUACACUGGCAAAGUAGGAAUAGUUAGGUGAUUGGGACUUCGCAGAAAUCAUGGAAAGUGAUAGCUUAGAACCCUUGUACCCUUGUUCAUAAACCAAAACUCUCCCUGCUAUAUCUGUUAAGGACCCUCGAUUACAUUAUUAUACUAUUUAAAACAUUUUUUAAGUUAUAUCUUUAAAAAAGGUGAUAUUUGUCAUUAAAGCUAAAAGGCAAAAGGAGUCAUUUGAAAUAGACAACAGUCUUCAGGAAGAUGCCGAGAAGAGAAAGGAGCAUCAGACUUUGUGUUCCAGCCUUCCUGAGGAACCAGAUUUAUUUCUCCUUGGGUAACGAUUAAGAAGUAUAAAAGAAUUGCACAACAUUUACCUUUUCUGCCUUCACUUAAAUUAUACUGAUAUACUGGCCACAAAUCACCAGCAAUUAAAAAAACAGGAGUCUGCCAGGAGUCAGUUGUUGGGGUAGAGAACACAUGCUACAACCAGUUGGAGAAGGCAGGGCAAGAUUGAGAAGGCAAGCCAGAAUCAGAGACCAGCCGUCAAUAUGGAAAUUUCUAAGCUGCCUAAGGAUGAAAACAAAGACCAAAAAAGGAACCAGCUGAAGCAAGAAGCAAAAGGUGGUGGUGGAAGAAUUAUUGAAUUAUUUCUAGAUAAUAUUUUAAGAUAUAGAAUCAUCUUUUUA